rnacentral:rRNA from 1 species
UACGAAGGGGGCUAGCGUUGCUCGGAAUCACUGGGCGUAAAGGGCGCGUAGGCGGCGCGAGCAGUCGAUCGUGAAAGUCCGGAGCUCAACUCCGGAUCGGCGGUCGAUACUCUCGUGCUUGAGCACUGUAGAGGCAGAUGGAAUUCCGGAUGUAGCGGUGGAAUGCGUAGAGAUCCGGAAGAACACCGGUGGCGAAGGCGGUCUGCUGGGGCAGUUGCUGA